rnacentral:rRNA from 1 species
GUGAGGAAUAUUGGUCAAUGGGCGCGAGCCUGAACCAGCCAAGUCGCGUGAAGGAAGAAGGAUCUAUGGUUCGUAAACUUCUUUUGCAGGGGAAUAAAGUGCAGGACGUGUCCUGUUUUGUAUGUACCCUGAGAAUAAGGAUCGGCUAACUCCGUGCCAGCAGCCGCGGUAAUACGGAGGAUCCGAGCGUUAUCCGGAUUUAUUGGGUUUAAAGGGUGCGUAGGUGGUUUGAUAAGUCAGCGGUGAAAGUUUGCAGCUUAACUGUAAAAAUGCCGUUGAAACUGUCGGACUUGAGUGUAAAUGAGGUAGGCGGAAUGCGUGGUGUAGCGGUGAAAUGCAUAGAUAUCACGCAGAACUCCGAUUGCGAAGGCAGCUUACUAAGCUACAACUGACACUGAAGCACGAAAGCGUGGGGAUCAAACAGGAUUAGAUACCCGAGUAGUCC